AGUGGGGGAGAGGGGAGCGGGGCCGACACAGGGUUCCUGACCAAGCUGGUGCUUCUGUGUGUGUUCCUGCAUGACUUGGUGUGUCCCCUUCUCUUGGAUCUACUGCAGUUGACAGCAGAUAACUGAAAGCUUGGAAAGUGAAACCGUGGAUAAGCAGGGGAACUGUGGCAUCCCAUUUAAAAUUGCUUCUGAAGAGAAGCAUGAGGUUACAUCUGUAAUCUCCCUGCAGCAGAGUCAACUGCAUAAGAAACCAAAAGACACAUCUGCUCCAUGCCAGCUUCGAUAAUUUCUUUGUACCUUCGGCGAAAGAAGCCCAUCUGAAAGGCAGAAAGAAAGAGGAGAAGCUGAGUUAGAAGUGCUGAAGAAUCAGCCAUUGUGACCCCAAGGCAGCCUGUCCCUGGGUAGGUGUGACCUGCACUCACAGGGCUGGGGAGGCUUGGAGGACCCCUCAGAUUAGAGAAAACACUGGCAAGAAAAACAUCCUGUGGAGACAUUUUUCAAAAUGCAUGGACUUCCUGCGGGUGAUAUUAGCCUAAGCCACCACAUAAAAAGUCAGACCAUCUGCUGGAAGAACCACAUGGAGAGGCCCUGAGUCGACAUGGAGAGGAAGAAGGACUUGAUUGAAUCCAGCCUUCCAGCUGUCCCUACCAAGGUGCCAGGCACGAGAAUGAAGCUGUCUUGGACUCUGAAGACCAGCUUAGCCACCAGGUAAAUGCCACUAAGUGACCUCACUCAAUGUCAUGUGGGAUGGAAGAAUCACCCAGCCAAACCCUUCCUGGAUCCCUGACCCAGAAAUUUGUCAGAUGUAAUGGUUGUGUAAAGCCACUCAAUUUGGGGGCAGUUUGUAUGCAGCAUAGCUAGCUGGUAUGAUACAACAGCCUGCAAUUCAGGCAGCAGCAGCACUAACAACCAUGAA
rnacentral:antisense_RNA from 1 species